GUGUAGCGGUUAAAUUGCGUAGAUAUAGGAAGAACCACCAGUGGCGAAGGCACCCACUGGAUUGAUACUGACCAUUGAGUGCGAAAGCGUGGGGAGCAACCAGGAUUAGAUACCCUGGUAGUCCAGGCGGUAAAGGAGUUGACCUAGCCGUGGGAUUCCUGAAGUCUUAGUUGCGGUAGUUAAGGCUUUAAUUGAACGGCUGGGGGGGAACGGCGCAAAGUUUAAAACUCAAUUGAAUUGACGGGGGCCCGCACAAGCGGUGAACCAUUUGGUUUAAUUCGAAGCAACGGGAAGACCCUACCCUGCCCUGGCCAUGCGAAGAACUUUCCGAAGAUGGAUUGGGCCCUUCGGGAAUUCAGACCAAGUUGCGCCAUGGCGGUGUUCAGCUCGUGUCUUGAGAUGUUGGGUUAAUUCCGGUAACGAGCGCAACCCUUUUCUUUAGUUACCAGCACCUAGGGUGGGCACUCUAAGGAGACUGCCGGUGACAAACCGGAGGAAGGUGGGGAUGACGUCAAGUCAUCAUGGCCCUUACGGCCAGGGCUACACACGUGCUACAAUGGUCGGUACAAAGGGUUGCCAAGCCGCGAGGUGGAGCUAAUCCCAUAAAACCGAUCGUAGUCCGGAUCGCAGUCUGCAACUCGACUGCGUGAAGUCGGAAUCGCUAGUAAUCGUGAAUCAGAAUGUCACGGUGAAUACGUUCCCGGGCCUUGUACACACCGCCCGUCACACCAUGGGAGUGGGUUGCUCCAGAAGUAGCUAGUCUAACCUUCGGGGGGA
rnacentral:rRNA from 1 species